GGACAGCCAGCUAUGUUAUGCAAACUGAUUUGUUCGAUUUAAUUGAGAUAUAUGAGCUGGAUGGUAUCAUGUUAUGUCUAUGCAUGCAUGUACUAUCUCAUCAUCAUGAUCAUUACAUGUAAGAAAGAGAGGAAAAGAAGAAGAGUAUACCCAAAGAGAUUGAGAGGGAGCUGGGGAUAGUGAGAGAAAGUGGUUGGUGGAUGUGGUGGUCCAAAACCAGUCUGCAUUGUGUUCAUCAUCACUCUCAUAUUGUUAAUUCUCCCUCCCCCUAACACUUUCAUUAAACAUCAAAAUCACUUUUAAGAUCAACACAAAAGCUAUAUCUAUGGUCCAUUAACAUCAGUUACCAACUAUAUAUAUAAUGUAAUUCCAAUACUUAAUUGGCCACACAAAUUUCUAACCAAUUAAAUCAACUUUGUAUAGAAAGUUAGACACUCUAACCAUAUAUUAACUUAUAGUUAUCCUUUUUCUUGAUCUAACUUGCAUAACAUUAUAAAGGCAUACAUACACAUACACACACAUUUUGAGAGAGAGAUGGGAUAUAUAUGUAUUAACCAUGGUUAGGAGUGGAGGGUUUGGAUCUUUGAAGACCAAGAGAGGCAAGGUUGCAAUUUGCUCUUCUUCCGUCGAUCACCGGAGUAGCGUCCACACAAGCCUUGCUCGCCGCAUCUGCCUCCUUGAAUGUCACCUGAUCACACAACUGUACUAAUUAGUUCCCCCUUUGAGGUCCAAGAAGAGUUGUUGCAUUUGUGUAUCUUUGGAGCUUGAAUCAGAUAAAUGGAAGGCAAAAAUAUGAACUUGGGAGCUUGGUGUGAAGCUGGUAGGAACAUGGAGAGCACCAAGGAGGAAUCAAGAGAAGCCAAAAUAUGAAGUACAGAGAAAAAGAGACUGGCAUUUAGGUCGAUGGGAAAAUAUCUAUAAAGAGAACUCAUAAAGAAAUGGAAGAAUCACUCGGGCAAGCAUGCAACAUAUAUUUUACAUGACAAGAUUUUUUGGUGAAAUAAUAUCAGCAUUAAUAAUCUUUUGGUCAAAGCACAGGAUAAAUAUAUUUUCACCUUCUUCAUACGUUUAAAUUGAAUAAAUCCCAAAAAGACAUUUUCUAA